rnacentral:rRNA from 1 species
UAUCUGCCGUGGGCGCUGGAGAAUUGAGGGGGGCUGCUCCUAGUACGAGAGGACCGGAGUGGACGCAUCACUGGUGUUCGGGUUGUCAUGCCAAUGGCACUGCCCGGUAGCUAAAUGCGGAAGAGAUAAGUGCUGAAAGCAUCUAAGCACGAAACUUGCCCCGAGAUGAGUUCUCCCUGAGACUAUAAGUCUCCUGAAGGAACGUUGAAGACGACGACGUUGAUAGGCCGGGUGUGUAAGCGCAGCGAUGCGUUGAGCUAACCGGUACUAAUGAACCGUGAGGCUUAACCUUACAACGCCGAAG